GACGAACGCUGGCGGCGUGCUUAACACAUGCAAGUCGAACGGAGAGGCCCUGCUUGCAGGGUGCUCGAGUGGCGAACGGGUGAGUAACACGUGGGUGAUCUGCCCCUUACUUUGGGAUAAGCCUGGGAAACUGGGUCUAAUACUGGAUAGGACCAUGCUGUAGGUGGUGUGGUGGAAAGAUUAGUUUCGGUAAGGGAUGAGCUCGCGGCCUAUCAGCUUGUUGGUGGGGUAAUGGCCUACCAAGGCGGCGACGGGUAGCCGGCCUGAGAGGGUGGACGGCCACAUUGGGUCUGAGAUACGGCCCAGACUCCUACGGGAGGCAGCAGUGGGGAAUAUUGCACAAUGGGCGCAAGCCUGAUGCAGCGACGCCGCGUGGGGGAUGACGGCCUUCGGGUUGUAAACUCCUUUCAGCCAUGACGAAGCCCUUGUGGUGACGGUAGUGGUAGAAGAAGCACCGGCUAACUACGUG
rnacentral:rRNA from 1 species